rnacentral:rRNA from 1 species
GACGAACGCUGGCGGCGUGCUUAACACAUGCAAGUCGAACGGAAAGGCCCUGCUUUUGUGGGGUGCUCGAGUGGCGAACGGGUGAGUAACACGUGAGUAACCUGCCCUUGACUUUGGGAUAACUUCAGGAAACUGGGGCUAAUACCGGAUAGGAGCUCCUGCUGCAUGGUGGGGGUUGGAAAGUUUCGGCGGUUGGGGAUGGACUCGCGGCUUAUCAGCUUGUUGGUGGGGUAGUGGCUUACCAAGGCUUUGACGGGUAGCCGGCCUGAGAGGGUGACCGGCCACAUUGGGACUGAGAUACGGCCCAGACUCCUACGGGAGGCAGCAGUGGGGAAUAUUGCACAAUGGGCGGAAGCCUGAUGCAGCAACGCCGCGUGCGGGAUGACGGCCUUCGGGUUGUAAACCGCUUUCGCCUGUGACGAAGCGUGAGUGACGGUAAUGGGUAAAGAAGCACCGGCUAACUACGUGCCAGCAGCCGCGGUGAUACGUAGGGUGCGAGCGUUGUCCGGAUUUAUUGGGCGUAAAGGGCUCGUAGGUGGUUGAUCGCGUCGGAAGUGUAAUCUUGGGGCUUAACCCUGAGCGUGCUUUCGAUACGGGUUGACUUGAGGAAGGUAGGGGAGAAUGGAAUUCCUGGUGGAGCGGUGGAAUGCGCAGAUAUCAGGAGGAACACCAGUGGCGAAGGCGGUUCUCUGGGCCUUUCCUGACGCUGAGGAGCGAAAGCGUGGGGAGCGAACAGGCUUAGAUACCCUGGUAGUCCACGCUGUAAACGGUGGGUACUAGGUGUGGGGUCCAUUCCACGGGUUCCGUGCCGUAGCUAACGCUUUAAGUACCCCGCCUGGGGAGUACGGCCGCGAGGCUAAAACUCAAAGGAAUUGACGGGGCCCCGCACAAGCGGCGGAGCAUGCGGAUUAAUUCGAUGCAACGCGUAGAACCUUACCUGGGUUUGACAUGGAUCGGGAGCGCUCAGAGAUGGGUGUGCCUCUUUUGGGGUCGGUUCACAGGUGGUGCAUGGCUGUCGUCAGCUCGUGUCGUGAGAUGUUGGGUUAAGUCCCGCAACGAGCGCAACCCUUGUUCACUGUUGCCAGCACGUUAUGGUGGGGACUCAGUGGAGACCGCCGGGGUCAACUCGGAGGAAGGUGGGGAUGACGUCAAGUCAUCAUGCCCCUUAUGUCCAGGGCUUCACGCAUGCUACAAUGGCUGGUACAGAGAGUGGCGAGCCUGUGAGGGUGAGCGAAUCUCGGAAAGCCGGUCUCAGUUCGGAUUGGGGUCUGCAACUCGACCUCAUGAAGUCGGAGUCGCUAGUAAUCGCAGAUCAGCAACGCUGCGGUGAAUACGUUCCCGGGGCU